rnacentral:tRNA from 1 species
UAGGAUGUGGUAUAAUGUGGUAACAUGAAGAAUUUUGAAUUCUUAGGGGUAGGUUCAAUUCCUGUAUUUCUAG